rnacentral:sRNA from 1 species
GCAUGUAUGCAUGUAUGCAUGUAUGCAUGUAUGCAUGUAUGCAUGUAUGCAUGUAUGCAUGUAUGUAUGUAUGCAUGUAUGCAUGUAUGCAUGUAUGCAUGUAUGCAUGUAUGCAUGUAUGCAUGUAUGCAUGUAUGCAUGUAUGCAUGUAUGCAUGUAUGUAUGU